UACGUAGGGUCCAAGCGUUAUCCGGAAUCACUGGGCGUAAAGCGUGCGUAGGCGGAUGUUUAAGUGUAAUGCGAAAUCCUGUGGCUCAACCAUAUGGACUGUAUUGCAUACUGGAUAUCUGGAGGAAUGCAGAGGCAAGUGGAAUUACUGGUGUAGCAGUGAAAUGCGUAGAUAUCAGUAGGAACACCAAUGGCGAAGGCAGCUUGCUGGGCAUUUUCUGACGCUAAGGCACGAAAGCGUGGGGAGCGAACAGG
rnacentral:rRNA from 1 species